ACAAACUUGGUCAUUUAGAGGAAGUAAAAGUCGUAACAAGGUUUCCGUAGGUGAACCUGCGGAAGGAUCAUUAUUGAAACAUUGUAAAGGAAAGUUGAGCUGGCUCUUCACGAGCAUGUGCUUGCUUUUCUUUCAAUCUUCAUCCACCUGUGCACUUUUUGUAGAGAGUUUGAGAAAGAGACCGUCAGGUUUCAAGUAUCAGGCUUUCUAUGUAUUUACAAACUCUGAAUGUAUGUCGUUGAAUGUCUUUUACAAAGGUACUUAAUUGAACCUUUUAAAAACUAUACAACUUUCAGCAACGGAUCUCUUGGCUCUCGCAUCGAUGAAGAACGCAGC
rnacentral:misc_RNA from 1 species